rnacentral:rRNA from 1 species
GAACGCUGGCGGCGCGCCUAACACAUGCAAGUCGACCGAGCGAGAGAGAGCUUGCUUUCUUGAGCGAGUGGCGAACGGGUGAGUAACGCGUGAGGAACCUGCCUCAAAGAGGGGGACAACAGUUGGAAACGACUGCUAAUACCGCAUAAGCCCACGGUGCCGCAUGGCACAGAGGGAAAAGGAGCAAUCCGCUUUGAGAUGGCCUCGCGUCCGAUUAGCUAGUUGGUGAGGUAACGGCCCACCAAGGCGACGAUCGGUAGCCGGACUGAGAGGUUGAACGGCCACAUUGGGACUGAGACACGGCCCAGACUCCUACGGGAGGCAGCAGUGGGGAAUAUUGCACAAUGGGGGAAACCCUGAUGCAGCGACGCCGCGUGGAGGAAGAAGGUCUUCGGAUUGUAAACUCCUGUUGUUGGGGAAGAUAAUGACGGUACCCAACAAGGAAGUGACGGCUAACUACGUG